GCAUUAAUGGGGUAGUGGUAACCUGGGUCGUUGCCAUUUCGCCGUGUCUCGACCCGCCGGGGGUUCGAUUCCCCCUUAAUGCA